rnacentral:rRNA from 1 species
UACGUAGGGGCGAGCGUUGUCCGGAAUUAUUGGGCGUAAAGAGCGCGCAGGUGGUUGAUUAAGUCUGAUGUGAAAGCCCACGGCUUAACCGUGGAGGGUCAUUGGAAACUGGUCGACUUGAGUGCAGAAGAGGGAAGUGGAAUUCCAUGUGUAGCGGUGAAAUGCGUAGAGAUAUGGAGGAACACCAGUGGCGAAGGCGGCUUCCUGGUCUGUAACUGACACUGAGGCGCGAAAGCGUGGGGAGCAAACAGGAUUAGAUACCCCGGUA